GAUGAAGAACGUAGCGAAAUGCGAUAAGUAAUGUGAAUUGCAGAAUUCAGUGAAUCAUCGAAUCUUUGAACGCACAUUGCGCCCGCCAGAAUUCUGGCGGGCAUGCCUGUUCGAGCGUCAUUUCAACCAUCAAGCCCCAGGCUUGUGUUGGAGCCCUGCGGCUGCCGCAGCCUCCCAAAACCAGUGGCGGGCUCGCUAUCACACCGAGUGCAGUAGUUUACUCUUCGCUCAGGGCGUGUGGCGGGUGCUAGCCGUAAAACCCCCAACUUCUCAAGGUUGACCUCGGAUCAGGUAGGAAUACCCGCUGAACUUAAGCAUAUCAAUAAGCGGAGGA
rnacentral:misc_RNA from 1 species